CAACAAAGCAAUAAGCUGGUAUUCUAUCAAUUAUACAUUUAACACCUUUACAUGGAGUGAAAAUACUUUUCCAUGAUGUCAACCUCUUAUAAAAGGAUGUAAAAGGAUCUUUCUAAAGGGGGCCGUUGGAGAUCGUGACACAAAUAUGGCUUGUGUUUUUCCGAGGCCAGCCAAAGACUCCCUGGAGUUAAUUUACCCCGGCGUAGCAGCCAACCCCUGCUGUGGUGACUCACCUUCGCCACCACAGAGAUGAGGUUCAGAGAGAGACUUGGCAAAAAGAAAAAGUACUCUCCUUGAGAGAUUAACCCGUUGGGCAAAGAAAGGCAUGGGGGAGGCAGACUGAGAGCUCGGCACAGUAGGAACGCAGCUAGCAGGUGAGGACACGUUCAUCUCGGUCACCUCCCAGUGUUGGCAAAGGAACGCGACUGGGAGCCAAACACAUACCACAGUUUGGCCUGGUGGCUGUUAUUAUAUCGAAUUGGUGUUAAAAUGAAAUCAGGUGAGAAUUACUGAGCGGGGGAACACACAUCGGCGUGGUCCUUCACCACACAAAUGAUAUUCAUGUUUGCUUCUUUUCUAGAAGGUUAAAUUGAGAUCUACAGAUGUUAUCGCGAGGACUUCACUGUAUAGGCGGGGUGUUAUGUCUCAUCCGCAGUUUCACCCCCCUUUGCCCCCAAAAGAAAGGAUGUUUGUUUUCUAAAUGCCUGUAACUGAACUCCCUCCCCCCCAUUACCCAUCGCGGGUCGCUCUCACACGGGUCAUUUAUCACACAAAACCCAAUAGUGCCCCAGCGCUAAAUUAGACCACUUGACUAAUGGCAGAGGGGGAAAUGUAACAUUCCGCCUGUUGAUACACAGGAGGGAGAAACGCAUGUAAUGAUCCAGAAAUUUCCAUUUCUGAGACAACAGAACCCCCCCAAAGUUCAAUGUAAAAACUUUAUGCACAGUUUGUGCCACAUAAGCCGUGCCAAAUGUCUUGUCAAAUGGAAGUCGACUUUUCCUGCAAUGAAGGGGAACAGCCAUUUGGAACAAAGACCAGUUAUUGGAGGUGAUAUUGAAGGCGAUCCAUUCUAAUCUGUGGGAUCGCAGGUCUGUGGCAUUUUUCAAAACCUACCGCAUGAGAACCAAUGAAGAGGAAGCACUUAGAUAUAUUGCACAAUCAAUAUCAUAUUUAAAGUGCUCAUACAAAUUUUGUGUCUAGUAUUGUUUUAUAUUAACAGCCAGGAGCCAGUAGAUAAAGUUUUAUCACCCAUGGGUUAUACGAUUAUUUCGACCGGCGAUGAAAACCUGCCAGCGUUUAGCGUAUUCCCAACAGGAAUAACAGAAAUGUAAGUGUGGAGACAGAGCACAUUAUUCUGUAGCGGCUGUUUGCACAAGUGAACUGCAAUAACAACCAGGCUGCCAAAAGAAAGAGCAGCACCACGCUGCGGUUCACGGGACCUUCGCUGCAAUAAGCAUUCAAGGAGAUGUUGAAAUUGGUGUUCAUUAACAGCAGAAGAUCACAAGGGGGGGAAAGAAAAAGGGGGCCGAGCUCCGUCUUGGCAAACACGAGGACAUCUGGAGGGUCCAGCUGACCGACCGCUGAGUCUCACCUUGCACAGGAGGAGGCUUCGGUGGCUCCUCUGACCGCGCAGCACAGCGGACUAAUGAUUAGAACUUCUUUAAAUAACGUUAGAAAUCCCCUCGCUUAUUAUUUCUCCCUCUGUUCUCCCGUCCUAUAAUAACAAAUCUCAGACCUUCAGCGUGUACACAAUUAUUAUUCCUUUUUUCUCCCUCUACCCAUGGAGACGUUUCUCUGGUUGUUUGAUGAGUGAAUCCUCUGUGGUCUUUUUUCCAUUGUACCUCUAAAAUAAAGCGCCAUUUAAAUUAGGUUCUGCUCCGUCUCUCAUGUCUCCCACAUUAUAUUCUCCCGUCCCAAGGAGGGACAGUUUCUCGUUGAGAAUUUACUCUGCUGCUACCUGCUGUUUGUUUUUCCUCUUUCUAAUCGUUCAGCCGAACUCCAGUCUUAACCCUUUGAGCUUUGCUAACUUUUCUUCAUGGCUAAUUAGAUUUUUUUUUCCCAGCCUGGGCUUGGCUGAGUCGUAUUACUUGUUUCAGCAGCAGCACCAGAGACCAAACAUCAACCAGUUCAGAAGUGGUGCCACCAAAACCAUGAAUGAGCAAAGAGCCGUCUUACCGCCAGUGUUUGGCACACAAACAUCUCAGAAGCACGACACUCACUUGCCUCCGGAGCCGCGUGUCGGUGAAGCGGAGGCCUCGCCGGGGUCAUUUGGAACUGAGAUAAUGGCAGUGAUGUCAAAA
ensembl:lncRNA